AAGCUUUGUAAGAUCAAGGGUCCUUAACAGAAGGGACCAGAGUGGAGCAAUGAGAUUAUAAGAACAGAAAAAACUUUUCAAUAGAGAAGGCACUGGAACUAGCCGUGUUAGUAAGUAAUCAACUAACUGAACAAGGAGUGAAUGAGUGACAGGGAGAGAGAAUGUAAGGAUGGAGAUUCAGCACUCCCAGUCCUCAUCAUGCAAGAAACAGAGGGAUUUCAAUUACAUAAGGAAAGACAGGAAAUUCAAAGCUGCCUACUGUUGAAUGAAAUACCAUUUCAAGCUACGGGAGGCAUCAUUUGAGUGAACAAUAGAUAUCUCUCCACACCUGU